CCUACGGGAGGCUGCAGUGGGGAAUAUUGGACAAUGGGGGGAACCCUGAUCCAGCGACGCCGCGUGAGUGAAGACGUAUUUCGGUAUGUAAAGCUCUAUCAGCAGGGAAGAAAGAAAUGACGGUACCUGACUAAGAAGCCCCGGCUAACUACGUGCCAGCAGCCGCGGUAAGACGUAGGGGGCAAGCGUUAUCCGGAUUUACUGGGUGUAAAGGGAGCGUAGACGGCGGUGCAAGUCUGAAGUGAAAGGCGGGGGACCAACCCCCGGACUGCUUUGGAAACUGGAUGGCUGGAGUGCAGGAGAGGUAAGUAGAAUUCCUAGUGUAGCGGUGAAAUGCGUAGAUAUUAGGAGGAACACCAGUGGCGACGGCGGCUUACUGGACUGUAACUGACGUUGAGGCUCGAAAGCGUGGGGAGCAAACAGGAUUAGAUACCCUAGUAGUC
rnacentral:rRNA from 1 species